UACGGGAGGCAGCAGUGGGGAAUAUUGCACAAUGGGCGCAAGCCUGAUGCAGCCAUGCCGCGUGUAUGAAGAAGGCCUUCGGGUUGUAAAGUACUUUCAGUCGUGAGGAAGGUGUUAAGGUUAAUAACCUUAGCAAUUGACGUUAGCGACAGAAGAAGCACCGGCUAACUCCGUGCCAGCAGCCGCGGUAAUACGGAGGGUGCGAGCGUUAAUCGGAAUUACUGGGCGUAAAGGGCACGCAGGCGGUUAAUUAAGUUGGAUGUGAAAUCCCCGGGCUUAACCUGGGAAUGGCAUUCAAGACUGGUUAGCUAGAGUCUUGUAGAGGGGGUAGAAUUCCAUGUGUAGCGGUGAAAUGCGUAGAGAUGUGGAGGAAUACCGGUGGCGAAGGCGGCCCCUGGACAAAGGCUGACGCUCAUGUGCGAAAGCGUGGGGAGCAAACAGGAUUAGAUACC
rnacentral:rRNA from 1 species